rnacentral:rRNA from 1 species
UGGGGAAUUUUGCGCAAUGGGGGAAACCCUGACGCAGCGACGCCGCGUGGAGGAUGACGGCCUUCGGGUUGUAAACUCCUGUCAGAAGGGACGAAACCCCGCAAGGGACUGACGGUACCUUCAGAGGAAGCCCCGGCUAACUACGUGCCAGCAGCCGCGGUAAUACGUAGGGGGCGAGGCGUUGCUCGGAAUUACUGGGCGUAAAGGGUGAGUAGGCGGUCGGGCAAGUCAAGGAUGAAAUCCCGAGGCUCAACUUCGGAAUUGUUCUUGAAACUGCUCGGCUUGAGGGUAGUUGAGGAGAGUGGAAUUCCCGGUGGAGCGGUGAAAUGCGUAGAUAUCGGGAGGAACACCGUGAGGCGAAGGCGGCUCUCUAAGCUACUCCUGACGCUGAAUCACGAA